rnacentral:rRNA from 1 species
AGGACUGGGCAAGACCGGUGCCAGCCGCCGCGGUAAUACCGGCAGUCCAAGUGAUGGCCGAUAUUAUUGGGCCUAAAGCGUCCGUAGCCUGCUGUGUAAGUCCAUUGGGAAAUCGACCAGCUCAACUGGUCGCCGUCCGGUGGAAACUGCACAGCUUGGGGCCGAGAGACUCGACGGGUACGUCCGGGGUAGGAGUGAAAUCCUGUAAUCCUGGACGGACCACCAAUGGCGAAAGCACCUCAGGAAGACGGACCCGACGGUGAGGGACGAAAGCUAGGGUCUCGAACCGGAUUAGAUACCCGGGUAGUCCUAGCUGUAAACGAUGCUCGCUCGGUGUGCCGCAGGCUACGAGCCUGCGCUGCGCCCUAGGGAAGCCGAGAAGCGAGCCGCCUGGGAAGUACGUCUGCAAGGAUGAAACUUAAAGGAAUUGGCGGGGGAGCACCACAACCGGAGGAGCCUGCGGUUUAAUUGGACUCAACGCCGGACAUCUCACCGGUCCCGACAGUAGUAACGACGGUCAGGUUGACGACCCUACUCGAGCUACUGAGAGGAGGUGCAUGGCCGCCGUCAGCUCGUACCGUGAGGCGUCCUGUUAAGUCAGGCAAUGAGCGAGACCCGCACCUCUAGUUGCCAGCAAUACCCUCGUGGUAGUUGGGUACACUAGGAGGACUGCCGCUGCUAAAGCGGAGGAAGGAACGGGCAACGGCAGGUCAGUAUGCCCCGAAUGGACCGGGCAACACGCGGGCUACAAUGGCCACGACAGUGGGAUGCCACGCCGAGAGGCGGAGCUAAUCUCCAAACGUGGUCGUAGUUCGGAUUGCGGGCUGAAACUCGCCCGCAUGAAGCUGGAUUCGGUAGUAAUCGCGUGUCAGAAGCGCGCGGUGAAUACGUCCCUGCUCCUUGCACACACCGCCCGUCAAAGCACCCGAGUGGGGUCCGGAUGAGGCCAGGAUACCCUG